UUCUGGCCUCUUAAGGCAUUGCAAAUAUAUAUAGUACUCAGACAUACGUUCAGGCAAACUAUCCAUACAUAUAAAAUUAUAAAAAUAUUUUUUAAUGUAUGGAUAAUGUAUGGAUAUUUAAAGGUUUGAAAUAUUGUAUAAAUUGCCCAUAAGCUGUGUGUGUGAGGGCCUUAUAUAUGAGUAUGAUAUAUAGGUGAAUCUUUUGUGUUGAUAUGGAUACCAGUCCCAAGACAUCUAUUAUGUAUGUAUGCAAAUAUUAUAAAACCAGAAAGAAAAAAAAUUAAACCCCGAACCACUUCUGUCCUCAAAACAUUUUGGAUAUAACAGUCAACCUGUGUGAGAGAGAGAGAGUGUGUGUGUGUGUGUGUGUGUGUGUGUGUGUGUAUGUGUGUGUAAAGAGCUGUGACAAGGAUUUAUUGUAUAUCUUGUACUUCUUUGUACUACUUCAUGCUGUUUGUUUGUUUAUUUGGCACAGUGCUAAACAUGGUUUCUAUGUGUUUGGAGAAUUGAUGUAAGAUUAAAAACUAAUUAUAUUUUGUAAUUCAGCCCUUUAGAUAAGUCCGGAUUCUAUUUAUAAAGAUUUAAAAAUAACUACCAGAAGAGUAAAAAUCAACUUUGUUUAGACAUGAUAUAUUUAAGUCACAUUAUUCCUCUAAAGACCAUCGAGUCUCUUUAAAACGCAUCGCUUUUUCAGAUUUAGAGCAUAGCUACAUAUAAAUGUGCACGGAUAAGCAGAGCUCCCAAAAUGAAUGCUGUUCUUUUUCCUCACCCUCCCCUUUCUCAGCCAAAACGUUUGCAUCAGGAGAUAGAUUGCACACACCACUACCACCACACCAUUGGUACAGAAUGUGAAAAAAAAUUAAAGAAAAAUACUCAAGUUUUUUCUUUCAUACAAAGACAAUGGCUGUCAACUUUUUUCUUGCUUGGACUUUCAUCUGAGAUUGUGUUUUUUUAAAGUGUGUCUUUGUGGCACACAAUUGAGUACAGUGCCCACAGAGGCCAGAAGACAAGUGUCAGCUCUGUAGCUACAGUUAAAGGUGACUGUGAGCUGCGGAAGGUCGGUGUUGGGAACCAAACUCGGGUUCUCUGAAAGAGCAAGCAAUAAGCUUCCUUAACCACUGAACCAUCUGUCCCAGCCCCUCAUUGGGAAUGAUGAUGGUGGUGGUGAUACCAGUUAUAAAGCAAAAGAAUUACAGUAUUUCCCUCUCUACUUUUAUAAUACAUAACCUUUUUAUAUUACAAAUUACUUUUAAGUUUCUCAUGUAUUUUUAUGUGUAUGAGUAUUUUGCCCAUCUUUCCAGCCUCCAUAUUACAAUUUUUUGUGCACAUUAGAGUGGUGUGCCUUAUAGAUGAUAAGAGCCCUUUAAAUAAACAGAGUAAAAACUUGUCCUGAUCCCUGGCCAGCCAUUUACAUUAUGUUAGAUUCGAAGCAGCUUAAGUUUUUGGCAACGUAUUAAGGCUGAUCAUCAUGAGAGGUAGUCACAUGAUACUGGAAUAGUCUUUGUAAUUGUUUUGAUAUGUAACUUUUUGGGGAAAAUGAAAAAUACUAACCUUAUAAUUUAAAUUUUUGAUGUAUAGAAAGAGUUUCGGGUUUGUAUAUAUUUCACAGUAGCUGAAUAGUCCUAAUUAAUAUGUGAGUUGCAAGCAGUGAUUUUAAAAAAGAAAGUAAGAAUCCAUGUGUUUUUCUUUUUUAUUUAUUUGUUAUAUGUAAGUACACUGUACUUCAGACACCCCAGAAGAGGGCAUCAGAUUUCAUUAUGGUGGCUGUGAGCCACCAUAUGGUUGCUGGGAUUUGAACUCAGGAAGAGCAGUCAGUGCUCUUAACUGCUCUUAACUGCUGAGCCAUGUCUCCAACUCCCUUGUGCUUUUCUUAAUAAUUUGUUUUACCACAUAUAUAUUCAAAUGCAUUAGAGUACUUUUUAAGCAUUCUUCAAAUUUUAGCUGAUACAUAAAAACAAAUAGGUAGUUGUUAGUGGGAUACUAUGGAAUGUUUCCACAGAAUUCCUGUGGUUUUAUUACCUUAUUUAUUGUGGUGAUAAAUAUGCAGGAUGCAGGGUCUUCAUAUGCUAGGCAAGCCCUCUGCUGUGGAGGCUUAUCUCCAGCCAGAAUUCAUGUUUUCAAGUGGCCAGGUUUCCCUUGGCUCUCGGCAGCCAUGCUCUGGGGCUCAGUUCAUCAUGGGAGUGCUGGUCUGCACACACGCUUGCUUACACUGCUAGCACCCAGAGGUAGCAUUUGGCUGCUUUCACUUUCUUCCCACCUCUGUGUUUUCUGUGGCAGAUGCUGCAGUAUUUUUAUACUGCAUUGUGCACUAGGUUUGAGAGAGAAUAUUUUUAUUUUGCGUAUGUGUGCAUUCUCACUACCCAUGUCCUUAUUCCCCAGGCUUCAUUAAAGUUUAUUCUGUAUCUUCAGUAAGUGAAUUACUUGUGCUGCCAUAAUGUUUAAUCUGACAGAAGUCAGUCCUGAAUAAUAAAAUAUGCAAAACAAUUGAGCAUAUAUAGAUAGACACUCGUGUGCUACAUUUCCAAGGUAGUUUAAAAAAAUUAGAAGUUUUUCUCCUCUAAUAAGUACAAGUAGUAGUUAAUCUUUCUACCAAAAACCCAUUUAUCUAAUCAAUUCAUAGUAAAUCAAUGUUUUUCUCUGCUCAUGAAAGCAGUACACUUUGCAGCAGUGUUCGAGGAGCUAGACAGUUGGCAAGCCACACGCUGUUUAGAUGCAAGAGUGUCAGUAAAGGGGAUAGAUUUGGGUGUCGCCUAGGUGAGGAUUUUCCAUUUGAUGUGAGGUCACAGAGACGGGUGCAGUGGUAUAUUAGCUUUAUGAUGCCAUUCAGAGACUCGUCACCGUAACAGUGGUGACCGGGUCCCGGCGUGCUUGUUCUGAUGGUGAUGGUUAUCUUCCUGGCUUGAUUUCUAGACCAGUGCCCUGAAUUUUGGAGAUGUCACUUCCGGCUGAGGAAUAGUAACAAUACUGUACAUGCCCAGUGCUAUUAAAAAGACAUGUGUAGAAGUAGUUUUCAUAAAGCACAAUUCAAGUGAGACCCGAUUCCGAUUGUCCUGACUUCUACUAAAAGUAGCUCCUGAUCAGAGUCUGCUCUGUUGAGACCUGCUAGGUGGCUUAUAGAGUUUCUUUCCCAGUCUUCAUGAGAUUGGCAUUGGCACUGCUGUCCCAUUUUAUAGAUGAGGAAACUGAGUCUUAGGUCAAAUAAUUUGUGCCAAGUUCCUCCUUACCAGUGGUGGUUUGGAGGCCCUGAGGGAGAAGAGUGCUAACAGCUGUGCUCUGCCUGUGCUCUGCAGUAUGUACGACUCGGCUUCUGUCAUCUGCCUGCUGCUCAUAGGGGCUACAGCCAUGAUGGACUAGGAGCAGACGGGUUGUAGAGCCAGUCGGUGGUGUAUAUAUACUGCGGUAUUGGAAAUGACUGUGUGAAGGGAGUUCAGGAGAGGUUUCUGAGACCCACUGGGAAUUCAGCAUGGUGGUGCUCACGCCUGUAACCCAGGAUGAUAAGUCAGAAGAAUGACCACAAAUUUGAGGCUACCCAGGUACAUAGUAAAUUCCAGGCCAGCCUGGGAUACACUGUGAGGCCCUGUCCCAAAAACAAAAUAAGACAAGAACACUAAUCUUUCUCUUCAGAGAAUUUUUAGUAAAUACAUAGGCAAGGAAAGUAUGGGAAGUGUAUUUAUUAAUUAGCUUUUUACAGUAUAAUGAAGAAAAUAAAUUUCUUUAGCUCACAGUUUUUAAAAUUGAAAGUCCCAACAGCAUUGGAUAGGCUCUUUCAAGGACUGUCUUUGGCCACAUCACAUCAUAGGAGCUGAUACUGGAGCGAGCGAUUACACUGAUACCAGGAAGCCUGACACGAGGAGGUGAAGUCCACUGGUGUUCUCUUAUAAUAGCCCUCUUCUAAGAACUAGCUCAGAAUUUGUUAGGAAUAUUUUAAUUCCUUUAUUAGAAACAGCAUGCCCUCCAAGUAGACCCUAGUUCUUAAAAAGUUUGACUAAGUCCUGAUAUGGCCACCUGGGGACCUAAACUUUACCACAUGGGUCUUUGAAGGACACUCAAGCCAUAUCUAUACCAUAACGGGGAACAUGAUGUUAAGAACAGUAAAGAAAGCUAGGCAUGGUGACACAUGCCUUUAAUACCAGCACUUGGGAGUCAGAGGCAGGCGGAUCUCUGAGUUUGAAAACAGGCUGAUCUACAGAUGAGUUCUACGGCAGCCAGGACUGCACAGAAAAACCUUGUCUCAGAAACAGACAAGAAAGAAAGGAAAAGCCUACAGGUUUGGAGGGUCUUGAUUAUGAAUGAAGCAAGAGAGGGUUGGCUGCUGUCGGGAAAGCUGCUGACUGAUAGAUAGACUGUGAUUAAUCUUAGUUGUGGACAGAGAGGGUUGGACCUUUUCUGUGGGCUUGGGGAAGCGUGAGAAGUCCCAAGGACUUAUUGGCUUGCACUGCUCUAGAAAGGGUCCUGGAAUAACAUUUUCUCCUUUGACUUUAGGUAUAGAAUUAUAAGUACCUGUUUUUAAAAUCAUAUCAAAAACAGAAAAGCAAGAAAUGGUCCUUACCUCCCCACUUCUCAGAGGAGAAGGGGAGGGGGUUAUGGGUGGGGGGUCCUGAUAGGAGACGGGGAGGCUGCGACUAAGAGGAAAAGUGAGUAAAUAAAUCAGUGGGGGGAAAACCGAAAUGGCCCUUAGAGAAUUUGAGAUGUGAACAACUUUCUUUCCUACCACACUUAACACUCAGAGUAGUGGCGAGCCUGUGUUCACUAGAAAAAGAAUUUGAAAAAGUUCAGUGAUUUCUUAUGUUGUUUUUCCCAUGUUCCAUUCUCAAAAAUUUUUAUUAUUAGUAUUUAAAUUUUUAAAAAAUUUUCACAUACUAUAUUUUGUGUUUUUACCUCAAUUCCUCCCAAAAUUUUACCUCUGUACCUAACCAACUUUAUAACCCCCCCCAAAACAAAAAAAC
rnacentral:lncRNA from 1 species